UGCGUAGGCGGUGCAGCAAGUCGGGUGUGAAAUCCCUCAGCUCAACUGAGGAAUUGCGCCCGAAACUGCUGUGCUAGAGGAAGACAGGGGUACGCGGAACUUAGGGUGGAGCGGUGAAAUGCGUUGAUAUCCUAAGGAACACCGGUGGCGUAAGCGGCGUACUGGGUCUUAUCUGACGCUGAGGCACGAAAGCUAGGGGAGCGAACG
rnacentral:rRNA from 1 species